rnacentral:rRNA from 1 species
AUGCUCAUAAGUAAAUUUUGGUGGGGGAGCAAAGAAGGUCAACGGAAGCCGCAUUGGGUUUCUUGGAAGGACAUGACUCAACCAAAAAGCGGGGGUUUGGGUUUCAAAAAAUUUGAGCUCUUUAAUCUGGCUAUGCAGCUGGCUAGACAAGCAUGGCGUUUGCUUCAAAACCCAGACUCACUGAGUGCUCGCAUCCUCAGGAGUGUUUACUAUCCAGGUUCAACAAUUCUUGAAGCCAGCCUCGGAUCCCACCCGAGUCAGAUUUGGCGAGCCAUAGUAGAAGGGAGAGAUAUUCUUCAGCAAGGGCUAAUAAAGAGAAUUGGGAACGGACAAAAUACAAAUAUUUGGACUGAAAACUGGUUACCUAGGGACGAGAUGCUCCGACCAUAUGGUUGUAGGACAGCGAACCCACCUCAGUUUGUUUCAGAAAUCAUAGAUCCAACUACGGCAACAUGGAACAUACAGAGGGUCCAAGAGGUUUUCCUUCCCAUGGACGUGAAAAUCAUCACUAGUAUUCCAUUGUGCACUCGUAAUAUAACUGAUUUCUGGUGA